rnacentral:misc_RNA from 1 species
AACCAUUCUCACCUGCGGCUAGACCUGCGGAAGGAUCAUUACAGAGUUGCAAAACUCCCUAAACCAUUGUGAACGUUACCUAAACCGUUGCUUCGGCGGGCGGCCCGGGUCCUUCCCGGCGCCCCUCGGCCCUCGCGGGCGCCCGCCGGAGGUAAACCAAACUAUUGCAUUGUAUGGCCUCUCUGAGUCUUCUGUACUGAAUAAGUCAAAACUUUCAACAAUGGAUCUCAGAUCGGAAGA